rnacentral:misc_RNA from 1 species
UCCGGCUUAUCGCUGGCGGUCUCCUGCGAGUUGCGCCUUGCGGCAUGCCAACACAGGACAAGGGUUGCGCUCGUUGCGGGACUUAACCCAACAUCUCACGACACGAGCUGACGACAGCCAUGCAGCACCCGUGUCCAGGUCCCCUUUCGGGCACACCCCCAUCUCUGGAGGCUUCCUGGCAUGUCAAGGGUAGGUAAGGUUUUUCGCGUUGCAUCGAAUUAAUCCACAUCAUCCACCGCUUGUGCGGGUCCCCGUCAAUUCCUUUGAGUUUUAAUCUUGCGACCGUACUCCCCAGGCGGGGUGCUUAAUGCGUUAGCUGCGCCACCAAAGAGCAAGCUCCCUGACGGCUAGCACCCAUCGUUUACGGCGUGGACUAC